GAUUAUUCUUGUAUUCCACCGAAGGGAAUGUGUUGUAUGUGUUGCGUUCAAGAUCAAGAACCACUGCUGUGUGUAGGAGGCAAAAAGAACUUAUCAAGGGACCAGCAGCUCUUGUCUAAGAUGGUGGGGACUUGGCCGAUAUGCUAUGCAUAGACAAGCGCAACGAGAUUCAUACCUGCUUUCGUGGAUGAGACCAGACCAGGCCACAAGUUUUAAUGUCAGGCUCAUUUCAAUACAUGGGGCGAGGAUUUUACCAGAUUGAACCUGGUGCUGGGAAUUUUGUUGAAGGGAGGAAGAAAAUGAGACAUUCUUUGGAGAAUUAAGUGAGACAAAUGUAAAAUCUCAAAUAUUGGCCUGAAGACAUUACACAUGAACAGAAGUGCAAAAUAAUUGUCCUCUGGGUUUCUCCUCAAGACAGCUGUAAUGUCAUUCUUUUUCCUCUUAUCUAGAAAGUCCUAUUAUGUGUU